rnacentral:rRNA from 1 species
GUCGAACGCUGGCGGCGUGCCUAAUACAUGCAAGUCGAACGCAGUGGGGACGGGAGAGUAACACGUGGGUAACCUCCCAUCAGAGGGGAUAACACUUGGAAACUGGUGCUAAACCGAUACUGAUGGAUGGACCCGCGGUGCAUUAGCUUGUUGGUGAGGUAACGGCUCACCAAGGCCACGAUGCAUAGCCGACCUGAGAGGGUGAUCGGCCACACUGGGACUGAGACAAGGCCCAGACUCCUACGGGAGGCAGCAGUGGGGAAUCUUCGGCAAUGGAGGAAAGUCUGACCGAGCCACGCCGCGUGAGUGAAGAAGGUUUUCGGAUCGUAAAACACUUUUGGUAGAGAAGCGGUAUCUAACCAGAAAGCCACGGCUGACUACGUGCCAGCAGCCGCGGUAAUUC